rnacentral:rRNA from 1 species
CACGUAGGUGGCGAGCGUUGUCCGGAAUUACUGGGUGUAAAGGGCGUGUAGGCGGGAGAGCAAGUCAGAUGUGAAAGCCCAAGGCUCAACUUUGGGACUGCAUCUGAAACUGUUCUUCUUGAGUACUGGAGAGGGAAGCGGAAUUCCUAGUGUAGCGGUGAAAUGCGUAGAGAUUAGGAGGAACACCAGUGGCGAAGGCGGCUUCCUGGACAGAGACUGACGCUGAGGCGCGAAAGCGUGGGGAGCGAACAGGAUUAGAUACCCUGGUAGUCCACGCCGUAAACGAUGGAUACUAGGUGUAGGAGGUAUCGACACCUUCUGUGCCGGAGUUAACACAAUAAGUAUCCCACCUGGGGAGUACGGCCGCAAGGCUGAAACUCAAAGGAAUUGACGGGGGCCCGCACAAGCAGUGGAGUAUGUGGUUUAAUUCGAAGCAACGCGAAGAACCUUACCAGGGCUUGACAUCCCCUGACGUUACUGGAAACAGUAAUUUCCUUCGGGACAGGGAGACAGGUGGUGCAUGGUU